rnacentral:rRNA from 1 species
UGAGGAAUAUUGGACAAUGGGAGCAAUCCUGAUCCAGCAAUGCCGCGUGUGGGAUGACGGGGCUUUGCCUUGUAAACCACUGUCGGACGGGACGAGAAGAGGUAAGAACCUCUGGGACGGUACCGUCAAAGGAAGGAUCGGCUAACUACGUGCCAGCAGCCGCGGUAAUACGUAGGAUCCAAGCGUUGUCCGGAUUUACUGGGUAUAAAGGGUGCGUAGGCGGCUUUUUGCGUCAGAGGUGAAAUCCACGGGCUUAACCCGUGGGGUGCCUUUGAAACGGGAAGGCUUGAGUAUGACAGAGGCGGAUGGAAUUCCUGGUGUAGCAGUGAAAUGCGUAGAUAUCAGGAGGAACACCGGUGGCGAAGGCGGUCCGCUGGGUCAUAACUGACGCUGAGGCACGAAAGCGUGGGGAUCAAACA